GCUUCACUUCACAAGGCAAAUGCUACAGCCCUGGCAAUCACUGUGACCAUCUCUAGGCUUGCUGAAAGUGAUCAGCACUGGAACAGAGGAGAUUCAAAACUGAAUGCUCAAGUUCUGUGGACUUUCCCAGAGAAGAAAGAGGGAUUGGAAGAGUUUGAAGAGUUUGAAACUCUGUCAAAGGAAAUAGUACCAUCAUGUUAUUUGUGCUAAUAGGUGCUGAAGUUGAGCAGUUCUUAUUAAUGUUGCUGCUCAUUUUUUUCUUCAUAAAUAAUGAUCUUUUCAAGUUAAAAAUAAAAACACUGAGAUUUUUACACUAAGAAGACAUUUAUUUAUUUGUGAAUCUGUGCUCCAAGCUGCCAUUGUUAUACUUGUCUUUUUGUUCAAGAAAGGUAGACAAAUUACUAUUCUAAUAAGAAUGUAUGGAAAUUUAAAAAAAGAAAAAAAGAAAGAAAGAGAGUGUCUCAGAGCCAAUAGGAAAAUCUCCAGUUCUGAGUCUCCAAGCUGAAAGAGACAGUGUCCAAUCUGAGAGAGAGAGCAUCCUAGUUGAGAGAAAAGCCCUCCAAUCCUAGUGGGACUCCCUCCAAUUCAAGAGAGAUGCCCUCUGAAUCGAGAGAUUCUCCCUAUAAUCCAAACUUGACAGUCUCCAAUUUCAACAAGACACCCUCCAGUAUGAGCGAUACGCCCUCCAGUCCUAGAGGGACAUCCUCAAGUCUGAAUGGGACAUACUCCAAACUGAGCGAGACAGCUUCCAGUUCACAAUAUUUAGUCUUCAAACUGAACUAAACAGAAUUCAGGCUCAUCGAGUCAUGCUCAAAUACGAACUAAAUACCCUCAUAAUUGAACGAGACAGACUCUGAGUCAAGCUGCAGAGUGAGAGCGUUAGAACUGUCCAAACUGAUCAACCACGGGAGGCACCACGUUUGAUGUCAGUUGCCCAUGUAAGAGGACAGAAAAUGAAGCAAAUCUUGACUCAUAACAGAAGAAAGAGGAGGAGAAGAAAGUUGAGGGAGGAGGAAAGAGGUCCAGAGGACUGGCUCCAAGCUCUAAGGGACCAUCUAGAGAGAGAGCUGAGACACCCAAUAAGACUGCAGUCACCAACACCCAGGAGGACAACAAGAAGUCCUGAAAGAGUAGGAGGUGACCAAGACAUUGUUACCAUUACUGAUCGAUCUCUGAAAAUGGAUGAAAUUCGAGGUUUGAGAAAAGACUUCACACCACCCAAAUGAGCCUACUGUCACCUGGUUACUGAUGUACUCACACCUGGGGCUGAUCAAAUUGGUUUCCUUCCAGCCUGCAUCAUCCAACGUCUCAGCUAUCAAAAGAAGACAUCCUCCUGCUCAAGCAAGUGACAGUAGUAAGAUUAUGUCACAUUUUGCCUUGAGGCGUUACCUACAUGACCAUGGAGGCAUAAAAAAACCACUCCUGAACUUCAAGCAUGGGUAAAAGAAUUACAAGACAGAUCAACCACCAAGGUGAACUUCUCCAUAAAGGUGAUUGAUCCAGUUGCUGUGGGACAUGACAGUAGCUGUAAGAACGACAGAGGUAACAAAUAGAGGGGCCCUGCCCCCAGCCAGUGGGGGGAAAGGGAUAAUAGAGUGUAUUGGACUGUGUGGAUUAGAUGGCCUGGAACAUCAGAACCACAGCAAUAUAGGGCCCUGGUGGACACUGGUGCACAGUGCACUGUAAUGCUCUCGAGCCACCAAGGGACAAAAUUAUUUUGUAUUCAUGGAGUGACUGAGGGUUCCCAAGAGUUCACUAUGUUGGAGGCCAAUAUAACCCUCACCGGUAAAGACUGGCAAAAGCACCUUACUGUGACUGGCCCAGGGGCUUCCUGUCUACUUGGUAUCAAUUACCGCAGAAGGGGAUAUUUUAAGGAUCCCAAGUGGUAUCAAUUGGCCUUUGGAAUAGCUGCUGUACCCAGAAGGUGUUAAGCAGUUGUCUGUUUUGCCUGGCCUGUCAGAAGAUCUGUCUUUUUUGGCCACAGUUUGCUUUAACCUGGAGGGGUGUUCAGUACACCUGUAAUUGUUUGCCCCAGGGGUGGAAACACAGCCUAACCAUUUGGCAUGCAUUGAUCCAAGCUGCACUGGAACAGGGAGGUGCUCCUGAGCACUUACAGUACACUGAUGACAUUAUUGUGUAAAGCAACACAGCAAGGGAAGUUUUUAAGAAAGGAGAGCAAAUAAUCCAGAUCCUUCUGUGCACUGAUUUCACUAUUGAGCAAAGCAAAGUGAAAGGACCUGCCCAGGAAAUUCAGUUCCUAGGCAUAAAAUGGCAAGAUGGACAUUGUCACAUUCCAACAGAUGUGAGGCCAGUACGGACGGGACAGGAUGUAAAGAAAAUUCUCUACACCACUGCUGGAGAGAAAGGUCCCACCUGGAGUUUGUGGCAAAGAGCCUCAGGAGAGACCUGAGACCUAUCCCUGGGAUUCUGGAUUCAAGAAUACAGAGGGUUGAAAGAGUGCUACACUUCAACUGAGAAGGAGAUCUUAGCCGUGUAUGAGGGGGUUUGGGCUGCUUCUGAAGUAAUUGGUACUGAAACACAGCUCCUUCUGUCACCUCGACUGCCAGUGUUACACUGGAUGUUCAAGGGAAAGGUUUCCUCCAUCCAUCAUGCUACUGAUGCCACUUGGAGCAAGUAGAUUGUGUUGAUUACACAACGAGCUCACAUGGGGAACUUCAGUCGUCCAGGAAUUUUAGAGGUGAUUAUAGACUGACCUGAAGGUAAAAAGUUUGGAACAUCACUAUCAGAAGAGGUAUCGCGAGGUAAAGAGGCCCUACCAUACAAUGAACUACCAGAAAAUGAAAAGAAAUAUGCCCUGUUCACAGAUGGAUCAUGUCAUCUUGUGGGCAAGAAUCACAGAUGGAAAGCUGCUGUGUGGAGCCCCACAUGACAAGUUGCAGAGGCCACUGAAGGUAAAAGAGAAUCAAGCCAAUUUGCAGAGGUAAAGACUGUCCAACUGGCCUUAGAUGUUGCUAAAUGGGAGAGGUGGCCAAUGCUUUAUCUUUAUACUGACUCAUGGAUGGUAGCAAAAGCCUUAUGGGGGUGGUUAUAGCUGUGGGAGAAGAACAAUUGGCAAAGAAGGGGUAAACCUAUUUGGGCUGCUGAACUGUGGAAAGACAUUGCUGCCCGAAUAAAGAAUAUGGUUGUAAAGGUGUGCCAUGUAGAUGCUCAUGUGCCAAAGAGUUGGGCUACUGAAGAACAACAAAAUAACCAUCAGGUAGAUCGAGCUGCCAAAAUUGAGGUGGCUCAAAUAGACUUGGACUGGCAGCACAAGAGUGAAUUAUUUCUAGCUUGGUGGGCCCAUGAGACGUCGGGUCACCAAGGAAGAGAUGCAACAUAUAAAUGGGCUAGAGACCGAGGGGUGGACUUAACUAUGGACACUAUUGCACAGGUUAUUCGUGACUAUGACACAUGCACCACAAUUAAACAAGCCAAGAGGAUUGAAAUCUCUCUGUGGGGAAGGGCUGUGGCGAAAGUAGAUACAUGGGGAGGCAUGGCAGGUUGAUUAUAUCACCUUGCCAUGGUCUCGCAAUGGUAACUGUUACGUGCUUACCAUGGUAGAGGCAACCACUGGGUGGCUUGAAACAUGUGCAGUACCCCAUGCUACUACCCAAAACAGCACAUUAGGUCUUGAGAAACAAGUUCUCUGGUGACAUGGCACUCCAGAAAGAAUCAGAUCAGACAACGGGACUCAUUUCAAAAAUUCUCUUAUAAAUACUUGGGCCAAAGAUCGUGGUAUUGAAUGGAUUUAUCAUAUCCCUGAUCAUGCACCACUUUCUGGUAAAAUGGAACAUUACAAUGGGUUGUUAAAAACCACGUUGAAAUCAAUGGGUGGUGAAUCAUUUAGCACUAGGAGAAGCAUUUGGCAGAAGCCACCUGGUUGGUCAACACUCGAGCAUCCAUCAGUUGCGGUGGUCCUGCUGGCUCCCUGUAUACUGUCAAGGGGGAUAAGGUCCCUGUAGUACAUGUAAAGAACAUGUUGGGAAAAGCAGUUUAGGUCUUUCUAGCUUCUGGGAAGGGCAGAGCUCUUCACAGGACUGUUUUAUACCCAGGGACCUGGGUGCACUUGGUGGGUGAUGCAGAAAAAUGGGUAUGUUCCAUGUGUACCACAAGGGAACUUGAUGUUGGGUGAGUGCAGUCAGUAACUCCAUGUGUAUAUAUAUGUUUGUGUUCCCGUGUGAUUAAUGUGUUGUAAUUAUGGUUUGUUUGUAUAUAUUAAGCAUGAUGUAGCAAUGUAGAAUAAGGGGUGGAAUGUCAUGGUUUUACAAUUUUUGGUUAUUGGUAUUCCACAUCAUGACAUCAUGUAGUGCACUGGGAGUUUAAGAGUUAAUGCUCCAGUUCCAGAUACCUGUCCUAGAAGAGAAGAAGAACUACAUAACCCGGAGGACUCUGCAUUCAGAGAAGAGAUAAAAUUCCUGGCAAAGUCACGGGACCUGGCACUUCUCCCUUCUACUCGUCCCAACCACGUCUCACCUCAGCAUUAGAAUAAGGCCUUCCGUUUUUUGGACACUCUUUCUCAUUUAAUUUGAUUUAUUAGCUUCAAUUCUAAUUAUAUUGUAUUAUACUGUAUUAUAAUGUGCUAUCUCGCAUUCUGAUAUGUUUAGUAAAUUAAUAUGUUUCUCCUCAGAUCACUGUCACUGUUUUGUUUUAGGCCCAUCUCUCUAUCCUUUUCCCUUAUCCCUUUCUGGGGUGUGGAUCUGCGAGUCCUUGAACCCUGCUAGUCAUGGAACUGGGCCAAAUCAGUCUGUAAACCGUUGAUAAGCUAUAACAUUUAUUUUUGAUACAAAAAUUUUACAACCUCACAAAGAAGUAGAUAUAAAUUUUGGGUGCUUAUGCAACUGGAAAUAAUAAUAAUAAUAAUAAAUUAAUGAAAAUAUUAUUCACUGAGGUCCUGGGGCUCAAUUGUCAAAUUUACUAGCAAAGAUCUCUCUAUGGGCAUUAUAGAGUAAUACAUGCUGCUAAAAGACGCACCAGAAAUUUCAUGCAGAUAUUGUAACCCUCAAGUGUAACUUCCUGCACAGAAAGAAAGGGAUUUGGUUCUAGUGCCUGGACAAUUCAGAUUAAGUAUUUAAAUAGCAGUGUUUACUUAAUAGAUGAGGAUUAAUUUUCACAUGGAGAUAUUUAGUGUCCUUUGAGGAUGCUUUGUGUAUCCACCAUGAUGUUCAACAGCUUCAAGAAGAAUACAUGUCCUCUGUAGGUGCUGUAUUUUCAUAUAUUUUAACCCCAUAAAUAUGUCUUGGAUAUCCUAGGGAGGUUUAAAUAUGAGUAUACAUUUAAGUAAAAUGUUUGAAGUAAAACAGAGAGGCAUAAAAGUUAUACUAAUGAUGCUCUAUGUCAGGAAUGCUGAAGUCUCAGACACCUAAUUCAUUUUACAUUAAAAAACAAAAGAUUGAAAAAUAGAUUGAAAAGAGGAGAAUAUCACAGAAGUCUUACCCCCUGUUAAUUCUGUACCGCAAAUUACCGUUUUUCCUGCAUCUCUUAUUUUGGUAUGCUUGUAUGUUAAGAGAAAAACACGUAGUCUCCCUAGUUUACCUGUACUUUUGCAAUUUCUACACUCUCUUGAAACAUGAGACGUUUGUUUCUGAAUCAUCUUAUGUAAAGGCUAUAUAUAUUGAGCCUUUCUUCAGGACAUCACAAAUGAGCACUUUAACUCAGUGUUUUCUGAAAAAAAAAAAAAAAUGGAAUGAGAGGCAGUGAACUUGUCCUUUGACCACUUGUUUGAAUGAAAAUCAUCAUGGUUCCUCUGCUUUGAGACAAUUUCUCGUAGAUUAACUAUACUGAAUUCUGAGCAAACCUCAGAAUUAUAUACUGUGUUUAAUUCUUGAAAACAUAGAUCAAGCAGUAACAAAACAAAUGUCUGGACAUAGAAGUUAAGGUUACUUAUAAUGUUCUUUAGUCUUAUCUGGUAUAAAAUAAACAUAUUUGUCAGAAUUUGGAAAAUAAAUGUAUUUAUUAUUUACUUGACUCUCUGUGGAAUGUUUGGAACAGAUUGGCAAACAGUUCACAAAGCAUAAAGUGAAUACUUCAAAAUGAACACCUCAAGCAGAAAGCUGCUGGGCUCUGUGUUAUCACUCCCUCAGAUCUUCAUUAAGAGAAGUUUCAUGUUGGGGAUCAAGCCCCUUCCUUAUGGAAUUAUUUGUACACAUUUCCUUAUCACAGACUUCUUCCUCCUGGUUGAGAACCAUAUAAAGUUUAACAGCUGUCCAACAGUUUCUUCAAACCUCAGGUAAUAUCAAGAAGACUAUUGCUAUACUAUAAUCAUUAUGGUUGGACAGAACUUCAUCCUAUCCUAUUCACAGAGCUGAGGCUGUAGCAGAGCAAGAAACAUACACUUCAGUGCUUGAUAUUUAGAGUGAAGAAAUCUUUGUCACAGCCAAAAUGAGCAUUGACAAGUCCUAAGACUCCUCUUUGUAACAUCAAUAUGAAGCCUAUCUUCUUGUACUAGGAAUAAAAUAAUUUCAAUACCAGUAGUGAUAAUAAUAAAGUAAUAAAAAAUCAUAUUUAAUAAGAUAAAAAAUCAUUCACAAUAGGCUAAAUAGUUACUGGGCUCAUACCUGCAGUAAGAAAAUGACUGUUUUAUUGUUGCAGGAGUCUGACUUGGAGCAGAGAACAACUUAACUCAGGACAUUGAAUGUUUUUACCACAAGGUAAUGCUAAUCAAAUAGAAGUACUUCAUUUUGUGACAAUAUCUCAUUGAUUUCUCCUCCUUGAUUACAAGGAUUGUGUAUUCAGUGUUUAAGCUAAAAAAAAAAAAAAAAAAAAAAAAAAAAAACCUUAAAAAUCAUAUUUCCACUAAAUUUAAACAGACUUUCACAAAAGGAAAUAUUCAUUUCUGAUGAAAUCAGAAUUUAAAUUAAACUUAAAUUUAAAUUAAAGAGCAUUCUUCACAACUUGUGUGAACAAAAGUAAUUAUAGCAGGAGCAUAUCUAGCAUAUCUGAAUAACUAGAAAAAAAAGAAGAAAAUAAUUCCAUAAAGCAUUAAACUCAGAAAAAAAAAAAAAAAAAAGAAAAAAAAAAAACAUAAAUUGUUCUGGUAGAAAGUAGUAAUUGUUUAAAUAUAUAUAUAUCAAUGCCAUUAUUAAGAUAGUAUCAUUAUUAAAUUCUAACAAGCUUAUGACCAAACAAAGUGAAAAGAGAGAAUUAGAAUAAAAGCUCAGGGGGAUAUUACUAAGAUUCAGAAACAUCCACUUUUUUUUUUUUUUCCAAGUGUAAAAAAUACACUUAUGAAGCCUUGCACUUUCUCAAUCACAGUAUAUCAAGCUUCUUUGAUAUUUUUAUGGGCUAAGAUGCCUAAUACCUCUAUUCAGUAAUCACUGUCACUUAUUAUAGCAGAUGUUUGAUUUGAGGAGACAAUUUGUUAGAAUCUGAGCAGCAAAUUACAGUCACAUAGCAAAGCUUGUGUAAUAAUUAGUUUACAAUCAUAUUCCUAGGUGUUUCACUUUUGGAGCAGUGGAAAUGUUUUGAAGAUUCAGUUGUUUAACAAGGACAUUAGCAAAGCUGUAACAUAAAAUCUCUUUGUAAAGAACAGAUCAAAAUUGUUUUCAGAUUAUUAGUAAUCAGUCAUGUCUUGAUCACCAUGGUUCUGCACGUUUCAGGUACCAAAGAAAAUAAAGAAGAAUCUUUGUUUUGCUCCUUUCAAUUUUUUUAACUCACACCAUAAAAUUCAAGAGAUGAAUGGGAUAUAAUCUAGGUGCGUGUUGAUUGUUCUAUAUAGCAGUAAUAAAAUUGUGGAUAAUAUGUGUUUCUAAGGAAGUUAUAAAGCCUCAUUUUAUUUCCGGUGCAAAAAGACUCAUGUUAUCCAGUGAAUAUUUUUCACUGAAAUCAUUGUAGGUUCUGUUCUAUUACCCUAAUUUAUGGGGAAAAAAAAGAGUCCUAAAAUAUUGUUGAAUAUAAAGACAUAAUAACUGGC